GACGAACGCUGGCGGCGUGCUUAACACAUGCAAGUCGAACGGUGAAGCUCCAGCUUGCUGGAGUGGAUCAGUGGCGAACGGGUGAGUAACACGUGAGCAACCUGCCCCUGACUCUGGAAUAAGCGCUGGAAACGGCGUCUAAUACUGGAUACGAGAAGGGUCCGCAUGGGCACUUUCUGGAAAGUUUUUCGGUUGGGGAUGGGCUCGCGGCCUAUCAGCUUGUUGGUGAGGUAAUGGCUCACCAAGGCGACGACGGGUAGCCGGCCUGAGAGGGCGACCGGCCACACGGGGACUGAGACACGGCCCAGACUCCUACGGGAGGCAGCAGUGGGGAAUAUUGCACAAUGGGCGAAAGCCUGAUGCAGCGACGCCGCGUGAGGGAUGACGGCCUUCGGGUUGUAAACCUCUUUCAGCAGGGAAGAAGCGAAAGUGACGGUACCUGCAGAAGAAGCGCCGGCUAACUACGU
rnacentral:rRNA from 1 species